AUGUCUGUUACAGGACACCUCCAUGUUAGCACACGGCCUACAUGCCAAGUUGACCGUCUUGAAAUCCUACCAAGUCUUUUACCAAUGUCUAGGUUCUUCACACACCGCUGACCUGGGUUCUCCGCGGUCGAAGCUGCUUGUACUUUGAUGAGUGGAACAGAUGUUGAUCUACCUUCCGACUAGGCCUGCCCAGGGUUUACUUCAUGGACGAGCAACACAAGUAAAAAAAAAAAGUAUUUACUACUUAUAAGUAGCGCAGUAAUAUUAGUGGGCCUAUUACAAGUUAAUUGAUUGAAAGGAUGUUACACUUCUUACCAUGUAGGCGCUGGUCCUCUUAUUUGAUCAGUUGAGCGUCUACCGGUUUCCUUUCCUUUCCAUUUGCGCCACCCAGUGCGAGAAUACGGUACAAAAAACUCCAAACAAUGAUAUUCAAAACUAGUUUUUUUUUUAAUGAUCUUUAAGGUCAUGCAAAAACAUUCACAACUACGUCGAGUCUUGGCAGUGUUCAGAAAAAAAUAGAUAUUCGUUAUCCCAUCAUUCUGGUAGAUAAUCCUCACCAUUCACACCAAAUUACCUUUUUGAAAUUUCGGUCCCACUUGGACACGGGAAUUGUGUACGACCGAUGAAAAUAAUUAUUGUUGAAGUCCGCUAAACUCUUCUCUGAAGAUAGAGUUAUAACGUGAGAACUCAUCCCAUAGACAUAACAUUACAUACAAUGAGCAUCAAAGUGAAAUAUUGAUAAAGUCUACCAAGUAGGCUAGUUAAGAUGAUACAUAAAUAGAAUGAACCAAGGAUGAUUAAAAUCACAUUGGGAGAUUAAAAUUACAUUGAUGAAACAAAACCCACAAAGAUGAUUUGUUACAAUAAAACAUCUCAAAACGUUAAGAGGGGAAAAAAACAACAAAGAGAAAAAUUAUAAUCGCAAAGGAGCCGGAAUAACAUUAUUAAAGAAACAUCCGACGCUAACGUUAUUACAAAUUGAAUUUCCCCCUGGUGGACAGAAAUUAUAACGAAUAAAAGCAAACUAUGUGUCUAGUCAGUUCAUCAUUAGCAAACAUAAAAAAAACAGAGAUACAGUGACUCAUACUCUUAUUGAAGGAACCUUCCCCUAGGGUUAGGGUUAGGAGCAGUCUUACCCUAACCGCCUAACCCCAUGACAAUAUAUUUAAAAAGAGGUGAUGAAACGUGUAUAAACAGAGUCAAAUUAUUUUUGGUUAUUCCUAAAAAUAGCUCCAUGGAUUUAAACAUAUUAUUAUUUUUCAAGUAACAACAGGUUCUGUUCGGGUCGAAUAAUGACUUAGUUGUGCUUUAGUUGUGCUUGUUUGGCCACAGAGCUGGAAUGUUUUAAACCAGAAACAUCAGGUUGAAUUGAUGUGUAAUGGUUUCCUUUAUCAAGCUAAAGUGCAUCACAUGUGUGUGUAUUAUAGUACGUUUCUGAAGGUAACAAAACAAUUAAAAUCAAGGAGCGCGAUAAAACCUUAAGACAACAUGACAUUGAGAUACUGAUCCCCUUAUCAGCCUAUUUCCACAUUCAUAGCCUCGACCUUGAAAAUCCUGUUAGGGAGCGCGACCUGCCCAGAAGGUCAUCUCAUGUUGUAUUUCACUUAAAGGAAAAAUCCGGUGUAAAAUGGAUCUGGGAUAUGUUUAGUACGAUAACGAGCUGGAAUGUUAGUUUGGGAGCA